GCAUGCCCGGCCGAGUGGUUAUUGUGUUGCUUUUGAACCGUGAGGUCGCGGGAUCGAGCCCCGGGUCACGCA
rnacentral:tRNA from 1 species